rnacentral:rRNA from 1 species
UACGUAGGGGGCUAGCGUUAUCCGGAAUUAUUGGGCGUAAGGGUGCGUAGGCGGUCUGACAAGUCUGAUGUGAAAUCUAUGGGCUCAACCCAUAGUCUGCAUCGGAAACUGUCGGGCUUGAGUAUGGGAGAGGUGAGUGGAAUUUCCGGUGUAGCGGUGAAAUGCGUAGAUAUCGGAAGGAACACCUGUGGCGAAAGCGGCUCACUGGACCAUUACUGACGCUGAGGCACGAAAGCUAGGGAGCAACAGGAGUUA